CCUACGGGACGCAGCAGUGGGGAAUAUUGCACAAUGGGCGCAAGCCUGAUGCAGCCAUGCCGCGUGUAUGAAGAAGGCCUUCGGGUUGUAAAGUACUUUCAGCGAGGAGGAAGGCGUUAAGGUUAAUAACCUUAGCGAUUGACGUUACUCGCAGAAGAAGCACCGGCUAACUCCGUGCCAGCAGCCGCGGUAACACGGAGGGUGCAAGCGUUAAUCGGAAUUACUGGGCGUAAAGCGCACGCAGGCGGUCUGUUAAGUCAGAUGUGAAGCCCCCGGGCUCAACCUGGGAACUGCAUUUGAAACUGGCAGGCUUGAGUCUUGUAGAGGGGGGUAGAAUUCCAGGUGUAGCGGUGAAAUGCGUAGAGACCUGGAGGAAUACCGGUGGCGAAGGCGGCCCCCUGGACAAAGACUGACGCUCAGGUGCGAAAGCGUGGGGAGCAAACAGGAUUAGAUACCCGUGUAGUC
rnacentral:rRNA from 1 species